ACCUAGUGAUGUGGGCAUUUACUAAACAGGUCCCUAAAGUGUUCCCAAGUCUCGAAAAAAAAGUUCCCCAUUCAUCUGUGAGAAACUUGUGAUGACUCUUUGAAGCU